rnacentral:rRNA from 1 species
AUGAACGCUGGCGGCGUGCCUAAUACAUGCAAGUCGAGCGAACAGACGAGGAGCUUGCUCCUCUGACGUUAGCGGCGGACGGGUGAGUAACACGUGGAUAACCUACCUAUAAGACUGGGAUAACUUCGGGAAACCGGAGCUAAUACCGGAUAAUAUAUUGAACCGCAUGGUUCAAUAGUGAAAGACGGUUUUGCUGUCACUUAUAGAUGGAUCCGCGCCGCAUUAGCUAGUUGGUAAGGUAACGGCUUACCAAGGCGACGAUGCGUAGCCGACCUGAGAGGGUGAUCGGCCACACUGGAACUGAGACACGGUCCAGACUCCUACGGGAGGCAGCAGUAGGGAAUCUUCCGCAAUGGGCGAAAGCCUGACGGAGCAACGCCGCGUGAGUGAUGAAGGUCUUCGGAUCGUAAAACUCUGUUAUUAGGGAAGAACAAAUGUGUAAGUAACUACGCACGUCUUGACGGUACCUAAUCAGAAAGCCACGGCUAACUACGUG